GACGAACGCUGGCGGCGUGCUUAACACAUGCAAGUCGAACGAAGUGGCGAACGGGUGAGUAACGCGUAAUCAACCUGCACUUCAGUGGGGGACAACAGUUGGAAACGACUGCUAAUACCGCAUACUGAAGGAGGGGAUUGCGUCUGAUGAGCAAGUUGGAGGGGUAACGGCCCACGAAGGGGAUGAUCAGUAGCCGGUCUGAGAGGAGGAACGGCCCCAGUGGGACAGAGUCACGGCCCAGACUCCUACGGUGGGCAGCAGUGGGGAAUCUUCCGCAAUGGACGAAAGUCUGACGGAGCAACGCCGCGUGGGUGAUGACGGCCUUCGGGUUGUAAAGCUCUGUUAAUCGGGACGCGGUACCUGAAUAGAAAGCCACGGCUAACUACGUGCCAGCAGCCGCGGUAAUUC
rnacentral:rRNA from 1 species